rnacentral:rRNA from 1 species
AAUAUUGGACAAUGGGCGAAAGCCUGAUCCAGCCAUGCCGCGUGAGUGAUGAAGGCCNNNGGGUUNUCAAGCUCUUUCACCGGNGACNAUAAUGACGGUAACCGGAGAAGAAGCCCCGGCUAACUUCGUUCCAGCAGCCGCGGUAAUACGAAGGGGGCUAGCGUUGUUCGGAAUUACUGGGCGUAAAGCGCACGUAGGCGGACUAUUAAGUCAGGGGUGAAAUCCCGGGGCUCAACCCCGGAACUGCCUUUGAUACUGGUAGUCUAGAGUCCGAGAGAGGUGAGUGGAAUUCCGAGUGUAGAGGUGAAAUUCGUAGAUAUUCGGAGGAACACCAGUGGCGAAGGCGGCUCACUGGCUCGGUACUGACGCUGAGGUGCGAAAGCGUGGGGAGCAAACAG